AUUGAACGCUGGCGGCAUGCCUUACACAUGCAAGUCGAACGGUAACAGGUCUUCGGAUGCCGACGAGUGGCGAACGGGUGAGUAAUACAUCGGAACGUGCCUAGUAGUGGGGGAUAACUACUCGAAGGAGUGGCUAAUACCGCAUGAGAUCUACGGAUGAAAGCAGGGGAUCGCAAGACCUUGUGCUACUAGAGCGGCCGAUGGCAGAUUAGGUAGUUGGUGGGAUAAAAGCUUACCAAGCCGACGAUCUGUAGCUGGUCUGAGAGGACGAUCAGCCACACUGGGACUGAGACACGGCCCAGACUCCUACGGGAGGCAGCAGUGGGGAAUUUUGGACAAUGGGCGCAAGCCUGAUCCAGCAAUGCCGCGUGCAGGAUGAAGGCCUUCGGGUUGUAAACUGCUUUUGUACGGAACGAAAAGCCCUGGGUUAAUACCCUGGGGUCAUGACGGUACCGUAAGAAUAAGCACCGGCUAACUACGUGCCAGCAGCCGCCGUAAGAC
rnacentral:rRNA from 1 species